GGCUCUGGGUCACCUCCCCCCGUGUUUAUUUUACCUUGUUGCUUCGGCGAGCCUGCCUUUUGGCUGCCGGGGGACGUCUGUCCCCGGGUCCGCGCUCGCCGAAGACACCUUAGAACUCUGUCUGAAGAUUGUAGUCGAGAUUAAAUAUAAAUUAUUUAAAACUUUCAACAACGGAUCUCUUGGUUCCGGCAUCGAUGAAGAACGCAGCGAAAUGCGAUACGUAAUGUGAAUUGCAGAAUUCAGUGAAUCAUCGAGUCUUUGAACGCACAUUGCGCCCUCUGGUAUUCCGGAGGGCAUGCCUGUCCGAGCGUCAUUGCUGCCCUCAAGCACGGCUUGUGUGUUGGGCUCCGUCCUCCUUCCGGGGGACGGGCCCGAAAGGCAGCGGCGGCACCGCGUCCGGUCCUCAAGCGUAUGGGGCUUUGUCACCCGCUUUGUAGGACUGGCCGGCGCCUGCCGAUCAACCAAACUUUUUUCCAGGUUGACCUCGGAUCAGGUA
rnacentral:rRNA from 1 species